UACAGAGGGGGCAAGCGUUGUUCGGAAUUACUGGGCGUAAAGGGCGCGUAGGCGGCCUUCUAAGUCGGACGUGAAAUCCCCAGGCUCAACCUGGGAACUGCGUCCGAUACUGGAUGGCUUGAAUCCGGGAGAGGGAUGCAGAAUUCCAGGUGUAGCGGUGAAAUGCGUAGAUAUCUGGAGGAAUACCGGUGGCGAAGGCGGCACCCUGGACCGGCAUUGACGCUGAGGAGCGAAAGCCAGGGGAGCAAACGGG
rnacentral:rRNA from 1 species